CUUGGACCAGUGUCUGCCGGCAGGUCCCCCGCCGUUGUGCGGCCGACUACCGGCGCCUGUGUCCUAUCAACGUUGCAUUGGACGGCUCUUACUUUGCCGCCUUACCGGAAAGUUCUUGCAUGAUGGUCCCCGACCAACGGGAAUUGGUGCGUCGUAGAGAGUAGCCUCGCGGUGGAUGCCUGUUGGCGUUCCACUGCGGCCAUAUUGCGUUGGCGGCGUUGCCUCGUGGUGCCAUCACGCUACGUGUUUGGCCCUACCAAGGACACCUCGCUCCCGCUCUUGGUCUUGGAUGUCGCUCAUUGUAGAGGCUCGUGGCCCUUUGGCGUCGCGUCCCUUUCUGAAGCUCACUCAAAGGACGACGGCCGCUCCGUUUUUUGCCGUUGCCAUGGCAUGCAAGUGGCUGGCACGUGCGACUCUCGGUGACGGCUUGUCGACUAGGACGUGCUACCUGGUUGAU
rnacentral:misc_RNA from 1 species